rnacentral:rRNA from 1 species
UGAUCCUGGCUCAGAACGAACGCUGGCGGCAGGCUUAACACAUGCAAGUCGAACGAGAACUUAGAGCUUGCUCUAAGGGACAGUGGCAGACGGGUGAGUAACGCGUGGCAACCUACCUUUUUCUACGGAACAACAGUUAGAAAUGACUGCUAAUACCGUAUACGCCCUUUGGGGGAAAGAAUUCCGGUGAAAGAUGGGGCCGCGUUAGAUUAGCUAGUUGGUGAGGUAAUGGCUCACCAAGGCGACGAUCUAUAGCUGGUCUGAGAGGAUGAUCAGCCACACCGGGACUGAGACACGGCCCAGACUCCUACGGGAGGCAGCAGUGGGGAAUAUUGGACAAUGGGCGCAAGCCUGAUCCAGCCAUGCCGCGUGAAUGAUGAAGGCCUUAGGGUUGUAAAAUUCUUUCGCUAGGGAUGAUAAUGACAGUACCUAGUAAAGAAGCCCCGGCUAACUCCGUGCCAGCAGCCGCGGUAAUACGGAGGGGGCUAGCGUUGUUCGGAAUUACUGGGCGUAAAGCGUGCGUAGGCGGACUAGAAAGUUAGAUGUGAAAUCCCAGGGCUCAACCCUGGAACUGCAUUUAAAACUCCUAGUCUAGAGUUCUGGAGAGGUAAGGGGAAUUCCUAGUGUAGAGGUGAAAUUCGUAGAUAUUAGGAGGAACACCAGAGGCGAAGGCGCCUUACUGGACAGAUACUGACGCUGAGGCACGAGAGUGUGGGUAGCAAACAGGAUUAGAUACCCUGGUAGU